UGCAAUAUAUUUUACUGACUUGUCCUGCUU
rnacentral:piRNA from 1 species